GUUGCCGCUGUACCUUUUCGGCGAUUUCGUCGCCGUCCGGCCACCACAGGACGAAUCGUUUGGCACGGCGUGAUCCUCUCUUCCUUCUCCUUCUAGCCAUCUUGUUUUGGGUUGUGGAGGAAGAAUUGAAGGUGUUUGGGGACGUGAACAGUAGCGUGAACAGUUCCAUCCGAGUUCUUGAGUUUGGGUUUGGAAUUCCGGCUUUUUCUACUUGUUUUGGUUGUGAUUGCAGGACGUAUUGAGCCCUCGAGCGAGGAGGACACGGGCAGGCAGCAGGAUUAGCUGCGGGACUCACUUAUUUCAGAUUAGCCGAGAUCGCGUCCAGGCUCUAGAGACUUUGGAAAUCAGCGCUUCUGUUUUUGUCCGUAGGUUAUUACUUAACCUACCUUGUAUGUUAUCGGCUUAGUUAUUAAUGUUGCUCUGAUAACCCUUUUUUAAUUUGAUGGAUGUUGUUGCUUACGGAGGUUAUGUUGGGAUUUGUACAUUCCGAAUGUAAUAUAUGUGCUUGGAUUGUAAAUAUGGAAUUCCCAUAUUUAGGAGAGGUUCUGCCGAAUUUUCGGUAG
rnacentral:lncRNA from 1 species